UACGUAGGGCGCAAGCGUUGUCCGGAAUUAUUGGGCGUAAAGAGCUCGUAGGCGGUCUGUCGCGUCUGCUGUGAAAACUCAGGGCUUAACCCUGAGCUUGCAGUGGGUACGGGCAGACUAGAGUGCGGUAGGGGAGACUGGAAUUCCUGGUGUAGCGGUGAAAUGCGCAGAUAUCAGGAGGAACACCGGUGGCGAAGGCGGAUCUCUGGGCCUUACCUGACGCUCAGGUGCGAAAGCUAGGGGAGCGAACAGG
rnacentral:rRNA from 1 species